rnacentral:tRNA from 1 species
CCACCGAUAGCUCAGUUGGUAGAGCGGAAGACUGUAGACCUUUUAUCGCUGGUUCGAAUCCGGCUCGGUGGA